GCUCAACUCUUGGAGCUUGCAAAAGUCCGGGAGGGGUGACGAGGUCAUCUUCUUUAGAGUUUUGGUGAUUCGUUUUGCCCUACAGCGACCUCAGCGUGUUACAUGACUGCAAACAGUGAAGCCUGAGUGGCAGAUUGCAUGACUCCAAAGCUACAAGAUCCUCUCAUUUACAGAAGCUACAGCGCGCGCGCGAAUACACGUGCACCUUCGUGCGGGCAAUGAGGACUACAGCCUUCGCGUGACUUAACCAAGCAGAUUUAGGAUUGUCCAGAAGACGGAGACCCUCCCCUCUGGACGGCAGCUCCGCUUCUCACGCAACCUGCUGCACCAGAGGGGUAGCGCCGGAGCGCACGGAGAAAGAAACCCUGCAGAUUCAACACAUGCAUCAACCCCCAGGGGAUCGGGACAGCGCUGUUCAGCGCGGACCGGAGGGAAUUGGCGAACAAAUUAAGUUAUGACUUUUGGACGUUAUUCAAAAGAAAAAGUCUCAUUUUCCUUGAGAGUUGUGCCCAAGGCCGUUGGAUCUUGGUGCACAAACUGUCUAUUAAGAAAAAAAAGAGUCACAUUAUUAUUAAGAAUGUGAAGGGAAGUAAAAGAGAUAAACGAGAUAUAACGCCCUCCGUCGGCAAAAUCCUAUUUUAGCAGUCUUUUGAAAUAAGCAAAGUAAAUAUUCCCAUCUGA